UACGGGAGGCAGCAGUGGGGAAUAUUGCACAAUGGAGGAAACUCUGAUGCAGCGACGCCGCGUGAGUGAAGAAGUAUUUCGGUAUGUAAAGCUCUAUCAGCAGGAAAGAAAAUGACGGUACCUGACUAAGAAGCCCCGGCUAACUACGUGCCAGCAGCCGCGGUAAU
rnacentral:rRNA from 1 species